UACGAAGGGGGCUAGCGUUGUUCGGAAUUACUGGGCGUAAAGCGCACGCAGGCGGCGUAUUAAGUCAGGGGUGAAAGGCCUGGGCUCAACCCAGGAAAUGCCCUUGAGACUGAUACGCUGGAGUACGGAAGAGGGUAGUGGAAUUUCCAGUGUAGAGGUGAAAUUCGUAGAUAUUGGAAAGAACACCGGUGGCGAAGGCGGCUACCUGGUCCGUUACUGACGCUCAUGUGCGAAAGCGUGGGGAGCAAACAGGAUUAGAAACCCGUGUAGU
rnacentral:rRNA from 1 species